CGGCGAGUGAAGCGGCAACAGCUCAAAUUUGAAAUCUGCCUGCAUGGGCCGAGUUGUAAUUUGCAGAGGAUGCUUUUGGCGCGGCGCCGGCUGAGUCCCCUGGAACGGGGCGCCAAAGAGGGUGAGAGCCCCGUAUAGCCGGACGCCUAGCCUGUGUAAAGCUCCUUCAACGAGUCGAGUAGUUUGGGAAUGCUGCUCUAAAUGGGAGGUAAAUUCCUUCUAAAGCUAAAUAUCUGCCAGAGACCGAUAGCGCACAAGUAGAGUGAUCGAAAGAUGAAAAGCACUUUGGAAAGAGAGUCAAACAGCACGUGAAAUUGUUGAAAGGGAAGCGCUCGUGACCAGACUUGCGCCGGGUCGAUUUCCCGUCGUUUUCGGCGGUGUACUCGGCCCGGCUCAGGCCAGCAUCGGUUUCUGCAGGGGGAUAAAAUCCCCGGGAAUGUGACUCCUUUGGGAGUGUUAUAGCCCGGGGCAUAAUACCCCUGCCGGGACCGAGGACCGCGCUCUCGCGAGGAUCGUCCUGGCGUCAAUGGUUAUUAGCGACCCGUCUUGAACCACGGACCACGAUUCAUAGCG
rnacentral:rRNA from 1 species